UGAGUAACGCGUGAGCAACCUGCCUUAAACAACGGGAUAGCCUCGGGAAACCGGGAUUAAUACCGUAUGAGACCCCGCCUUCCCAUGAAGAAGAGGUUAAAGAUUUAUCGGUUUAAGAUGGGCUCGCGUCUGAUUAGCUAGUUGGUGAGAUAAAAGCCCACCAAGGCAACGAUCAGUAACCGGCUUGAGAGAGUGAACGGUCACAUUGGAACUGAGACACGGUCCAAACUCCUACGGGAGGCAGCAGUGGGGAAUAUUGCACAAUGGGGGAAACCCUGAUGCAGCGACGCCGCGUGAGCGAUGAAGGAAUUCGUUUCGUAAAGCUCUGUCCUAGGGGAAGAUAAUGACAGUACCCUUGGAGGAAGCCCCGGCUAAAUACGUGCCAGCAGCCGCGGUAAUACGUAUGGGGCGAGCGUUGUCCGGAAUUAUUGGGCGUAAAGGGUACGUAGGCGGUUUCAUAAGUCAGAUGUAAA
rnacentral:rRNA from 1 species